rnacentral:lncRNA from 1 species
CUCUCCGUCUUCGCCUAUCAGUGCCGGGUCUGCGCAGCCACAGGUUCCGGACGUCUUGGCCCCGGGAAUAAAUAAAGACAUAAACCAACCCGGCUUUCUCCGGAGGAAUGAGGUCUGAUCAAUGGGCACAAUUUCUAAGCAGCGCAGUGGUGGAUGCUCGCAAACUUUUGCGCACCGCUGGAAACCCACUAGGUUGAGUUGCAAAACGUACCGCGUAGACGCCCCUGGUGGCGCCGAGAGAAGAGCUAGGCCUGCCCAGCACAGAGCCGGAGAGCGUCGGGCCUUCCGGAAGGGUCGACGAGAUGAGUUCCUACUUGACCUCUGAGCCGAGGUGGGCCGGAAACCGAGGCCUAGGCCCCGCCGGGGCUGCAAGGAAAAGGGGAAACUCCGAGCGUAGCGUCUUUUCCUUGUGGUUCCUUUCUCCGGCAUCCCGGACUGCGGGCCCUGCAGCCACCUGGACCGGCAUUCAAAGGAUUCUGCAAGUCCAGCUUCACAGACUGGCUUUCCCAGACGCUCCGAAGCCCGCACCACGAACAGAAUAAAGGAGAGACGAGAGAUCGCAACUAGAUUUGAGAAUCCUCGUUCUUUUCCCCAAUCGUUCGGGCAGUAAACUCCGGAGCCGGCUACAGCGCGCAUCCUCCCUUCCUCCUUUCGGAGAACUGUCGCUUUCCCGAAGCUGCUCCCAGCUGGGUUUUCUCCCGAAGUUUAUUUUUCUCAUUUUGCAAAAUUCCUGCCCUGAUUUUAAUACUGCAACAGGACAGCAGAGGUUCCUCUUUAAAAAGUCAAAACCCAAACCAAAGGGGCCCAUUGCUGUUGAUAAUUUUUUUCUUCACCUUCUCC